UACAGGGGGGGCAAGCGUUGUUCGGAAUUACUGGGCGUAAAGGGCUCGUAGGCGGCCAACUAAGUCAGACGUGAAAUCCCUCGGCUUAACCGGGGAACUGCGUCUGAUACUGGAUGGCUAGAGAUUGGGAGAGGGAUGCGGAAUUCCAGGUGUAGCGGUGAAAUGCGUAGAUAUCUGGAGGAACACCGGUGGCGAAGGCGGCAUCCUGGACCAACACUGACGCUGAGGAGCGAAAGCCAGGGGAGCAAACGGG
rnacentral:rRNA from 1 species